rnacentral:snoRNA from 1 species
UAACACCUUACUAGUAGGAUCAUUUCUAUAGGUAACGUCUCUCUUUGAGCUCCUCAAAAGAGCCACAGUAUCCAACCUGGUUGAUGAGCUGUAUCCCUUGAUGCCUUAGCGUGAGACAAGAUUUGUUACUCUUCGGAGUGACUACUUACUACGAUGAUCACGUCCUGCGUCGGCAUGUAUCUGUCAUGGAAGGAUGCGGCAGGAGGCGUACAAGGCAGUCUGACAGGC